AAGCGGCAACAGCUCAAAUUUGAAAUCUGGCUUCGGCCCGAGUUGUAAUUUGUAGAGGAUGCUUUUGGCGAGGUGCCUUCUGAGUUCCCUGGAACGGGACGCCAGAGAGGGUGAGAGCCCCGUAUAGUCGGACACCUAGCCUCUGUAAAGCUCCUUCGACGAGUCGAGUAGUUUGGGAAUGCUGCUCAAAAUGGGAGGUAUAUCUCUUCUAAAGCUAAAUAUAGGCCAGAGACCGAUAGCGCACAAGUAGAGUGAUCGAAAGAUGAAAAGCACUUUGAAAAGAGGGUUAAAUAGCACGUGAAAUUGUUGAAAGGGAAGCGCUUGUGACCAGACUUGUGCCGGGCUGAUCAUCCAGUGUUCUCACUGGUGCACUCGACCCGGCUCAGGCCAGCGUCGGUUCUCGCGGGGGGAUAAAAGCUUCGGGAACGUGGCUCCUCCGGGAGUGUUAUAGCCCGUCGUUUAAUACCCUCGCGG
rnacentral:rRNA from 1 species